rnacentral:rRNA from 1 species
UACGUAGGGGGCAAGCGUUGUCCGGAAUCAUUGGGCGUAAAGAGCGUGUAGGCGGCUUGGUAAGUCCGCUGUGAAAGUCCAGGGCUCAACCCUGGAAAGCCGGUGGAAACUGUCAAGCUUGAGUCCGGAAGAGGCGAGUGGAAUUCCUGGUGUAGCGGUGAAAUGCGCAGAUAUCAGGAGGAACACCAAUGGCGAAGGCAGCUCGCUGGGACGGUAGCUGACGCUGAGACGCGAAAGCGUGGGGAGCGAACAGG